rnacentral:lncRNA from 1 species
GUUUAUUGAGUGCUUGGUAGGUCAUGUUUGACAGGUGAAGGAACAGAGUCAUGGGGUGGGGGAUGAGAAACCUGCUGACAGUUUAAUUGAUAUGCUUUAAUGAAGAAGUGAGUUUUCAAAGAUUUUUUGAAGGAAUGGAGGCUGGGUGAAAGUCUGAUUGAGGAGGGAAGGGAGUUCCACAGAAUAGGUGCAGCCCUGGAGAAGUCUUGAAGGCGAGCAUCAGAGGUGGGGAUCCGGGCAGAGGAUAGGAGUAGGUCUUGGGCUGAGCGCAGGGGUCUCG